rnacentral:rRNA from 1 species
CAGCCACUCAUUCAAAGAGUGCGUAAUAGCUCACUGGUCGAGUGAUCCUGCGCCGAAGAUUUCCGGGGCUAAAACUUACUACCGAAGCUACGGCAUCAGUAAUGAUGGGUAGGGGAGCUUCCCAUACAGGUUGAAGCAUGACCGUAAGGACAUGUGGACAGUAUGGGAGUGAGAAUGUUGGCAUGAGUAGCGAGAUGUGGGUGAGAAUCCCACAGGCCGUAAACCCAAGGUUUCCAGGGGAAGGUUCGUCCGCCCUGGGUUAGUCGGGACCUAAGCUGAGGCCGAAAGGCGUAGGUGAUGGACAACAGGUUGAUAUUCCUGUACUACCGAUAACCGUUUGAGAGAAGGGAUGACACAGUAGGAUAAGCUAAGCACACUGUUGGUUAUGUGUGCCCAAGCAUUGAGGCAGUCAAAGUAGGCAAAUCCGCUUUGAUAAUGCUGGGAUGUGAUGGGGAGCGAAAUUUAGUAGCGAAGUAGCUGAUUUCACACUGUCAAGAAAAGUCUCUAUCGAGGUUAAAGGUACCCGUACCGCAAACCGACACAGGUG